rnacentral:rRNA from 1 species
UUGGACGGGGCCCGCACAAGCGGUGGAGCAUGUGGUUUAAUUCGAUGCAACGCGAAGAACCUUUACCUGGGCUUGACAUCCCGGGAAUCCCUUGGAAACAAGGGAGUGCCCGUUCGGGGAACCUGGAGACAGGUGCUGCAUGGCUGUCGUCAGCUCGUGUCGUGAGAUGUAGGGUUAAGUCCCGCAACGAGCGCAACCCUUGUCCUUAGUUGCCAGCAUUCAGUUGGGCACUCUAAGGAGACUGCCGGUGUUAAACCGGAGGAAGGUGGGGAUGACGUCAAGUCCUCAUGGCCCUUAUGUCCAGGGCUACACACGUGCUACAAUGGCCGGUACAAAGGGCUGCAAGACCGUGAGGUUGAGCGAAUCCCAGAAAGCCGGUCUCAGUUCGGAUUGGAGUCUGCAACUCGACUCCAUGAAGUUGGAAUCGCUAGUAAUCGUGGAUCAGCAUGCCACGGUGAAUACGUUCCCGGGCCUU